rnacentral:misc_RNA from 1 species
AGAAUUCAAUUGAAUUGAAUUCUAUUUGACCAAUUCUCACGUUUGGAAAGUUUGGAAUUAAUAAAAUUCAAUUUUUUUUAACUAAAAAAAUUGUCAUUUUGAAAGAAAUGAAUUUAUACCAAAAGUUACAUGAUUUUGUAAGAAUAAAAUUUAUUUAAUAAAGUAUUCUAUUAAAAAAAAACAAAACACCCUUGUUACACCUAUUUCUUCGUUAAUAAGUGUAAAACGAGAAAACGAGGACAUUCAUUUCAUUUGUCA